UGUUGGCGUUUUACUUCCUUUAAAAGGUAAACAGAAAUGUUGGUAGAGGCUGCAUGCUUGCUGUAGGCGUCGGGGCUGCAGUGAGUGGAAGUGGGUGAAAGAUUAUGGUCCUAACCAUAGAUGUAUCGGAAAUGUCCGAACCAUCGGUUGACGAAAAGAACACGACUGCAAAGAGUUACAUUGAAUUCCGUGUACAGUUAAAAAGAAAAGACAUUCAGGACCUUCUCGGAGAGAUAGACCAACUAGAAACGAAGAAGCUCAGAAACGUCAAGUUGCUGCAGCAACUGAAGUCGGAGCAGGACAACCAGAUGCGUCUACUCCUGAAGCAGGUGAAAGAGCAGGAGAAGAAACUGGCGCAGAAAGAACUGGCGCACCUGAAACAACUGGAACAGGACAAAGACGCGGCACUGUCAAAGAAGGCGGAGGUGGAAGACGUCCAGAGGAGGCUGAGCGACGUGGAGAGGGAGGUCUUGGAGCGGCUGGCCCAGUGCCAGGAACUGCGGGACUACAGGGACAGGGGCGUCCAUCAGCACCAGGCCCAGAUCACACAGCUGGAGGAGGAGCACGAGCGCAUGCAGCUGGACGCCGCCACCGCCGCGGAGCACAUAAAGAGCCAGCUGUCACUGACCCUAAGGAUAAUAGAGAUGGGGACGGCCCAAGCCAUCAAGGACAACAGACUGGCUGAAGAGAUGAAAAAUAACGAGCUCAACAUGGACGAGUCGCAAAGAGCGGCCCACAGAGAUAAUGAAUGGCUACGAGAAAAGGUUUCGGCCUACAGGGAGGAAGUGUCGGCCCUGGAGCUGUCCGUGCAGGGUAUGGAGGAGGAGAACGUUGGCCAUUGUGAUUGGCUGUUUGACCAACGCCUCAAACGCCUCAGCAUCUCCCGAACAACGAGUGAAGUAGAGAAGGUCACCCGCCGGUGUCCAGAGGCCUUGGAACCCUUCAGGCUAUGUGCAGGUUGUAACGUGAUAUUUGUGUUGUGUAUGACACUUUUUUGCAUCAUUACGCAAGUCAUGUUAAUGGUUGAAUAUAGUAUUGUAGAAUAUACUAUGGUAAUAUUAUGUAAGGUUGGUCCUGGUUGGACAUCUUACCAUUUCACCCUGAUGCAUCCUUCAUGCAGACUGAGCGGCGCAAUCUUGAUUAACUUCUUCUGCAUUAUUUUGUGUGUGUAUUGUUCAAUAUAUGUUUUUUUUUUUUUAAUGAGAGGGAUAUGACAGGUUACAGCGUGUACAAUGCCCUGACAUGUAGCAACUCCUUUGCACAGGCAAUAUACUACUAGACCUGGGUCAAAACCGGGUUCAGACCUGCGAGAAAGCACCAUUCUGAAUCCAACGUCAGCAGUUGCAGGAUGUGGCGCCGCUGCAGCCAGCGACCGUCUGGAAGGGGAUGAAAUAGACAGCAGCUGCAUUGGAUCAGCGACUCCCGACCAGCUGAGGCCUCGACACAACUUGAGUGUUGGCGAGCUGCAGCAGAGGCUUCUGACCGUGGUGGGGCAGACUGCGCCGCUGCACCUGCCUCCCACUGAGGACCACCGAUGGGACGGGGGCAUGACCUACAGCAGCACGGAGGUGGCCAGCAAACCCCUCACCAUCAGACAGCUAUGAACCUAAUACACUUGGUCAUUCAUUGGCGCCAUCUAGAUCGCUUGAGUUGCAUUUCAUUCUUUAAUCAAACAUUUAUUAAAAACAUUUGCAAUUUUUA